AUUGAACGCUGGCGGCAUGCGUUACACAUGCAAGUCGAACGGCAGCGCGGGGGCAACCCUGGCGGCGAGUGGCGAACGGGUGAGUAAUGCAUCGGAACGUAUCCUGUAAUGGGGGAUAACUAAUCAAAAGAUUAGCUAAUACCGCAUACGCUCGGGAGAGGAAAGUGGGGGAUCGCAAGACCUCACGUUAUAGGAGCGGCCGAUGUCUGAUUAGCUAGUUGGUGAGGUAAAGGCUCACCAAGGCGACGAUCAGUAGCUGGUCUUAGAGGAUGGUCAGCCACACUGGGACUGAGACACGGCCCAGACUCCUACGGGAGGCAGCAGUGGGGAAUUUUGGACAAUGGGGGCAACCCUGAUCCAGCCAUGCCGCGUGCGGGAAGAAGGCCUUCGGGUUGUAAACCGCUUUAGUCUAGGAAAAAGGAAUGCAGGAUUAAUACCCUUGUGUUUUGAUGGUACUGGAAGAAUAAGCACCGGCUAACUACGUGCCAGCCGCCGCGGUAAGAC
rnacentral:rRNA from 1 species